AUUUCCUUAAGUAAAAUGUAUUUAACACCGUAUAAGAGUUGUCAAAUAAGCAUUAGCAUACAAAUUUAAGAUAACAGAAACUUGUUCAGAUUCAAGUUGAGUGCAGAUCUCUACUUCUCAGAGACAAGUUGGGGAGUCUUUGCAUGGUUUCCUGGAUGGCCUAUCUCGCUUUCACUGCAGCUGUAUGCAAGAAAAGGAUCACGAGAGAGGUUCUUACCAUGGAAAAUCAAAAUGACUGGCUCCUUCAAAUAAAUCUUACCUGCAGCCUUGCCAAGUCUUCAUCUUGGAAACAAUGAGCCUGCUUUAUAUACUCAACACUAGAUAGACUUUUAUAUAACUAUGCUGAUUGUGAAGCUGAUGUUGCAGCAUACGGUAAAGCUUAGUAGAUAACGUUGGAUAAGGAAAGGAGAGUAAUCUGUAAAUGUGAAGAAAAAAGACUGGAAGGAAGUACACCAAAACAUUAAUAAGUAUUGCACAAAUGCUGGAGGGAAGAGCUGCCUUUUACCUUUUAUCUGUACUUUAUAAAUUACUUCAAGAUAAAUAAAUCAUGAAUUUUAUUAACUUGCAUUGAAAACCAUUUACAACCUAGUCUCAAACUCUAUUCAGUAUAUUUUUUAAGCCUUUCCCCAGAUCGGCUCCACUAUCAAACUACCAUUGUUAAUUCCCAGGUCUCACAGGUUCUUUCUAUUUUUAUGCCUUUGUUCAUGAUGUUCCCUCAACCUCUAACGCUCUUCCCUCUCAUCUCAG
rnacentral:lncRNA from 1 species